UGCUGAUGCAACAAAGAAGGUCACAACGGCAUCCCGGCAUCCCGGAGCAAUAGGCCAACCCCACUCAAUUCAAGCCUUCUCUAGAAAUUCCAGCACACAUUUGAAAGGAGCAAAAUGCACAAGAAUUCUUUAAGGAGAUCCUGAGAAGAGGAGAUCACCUCAGGCUGCGACUUCAUAGCCAUAGUGCAGAGUGCAGCCUGGUCCAAUAGCUGCUGUGGAAUCUGAGCUAGCACCUUGUCUUACCUGGACUGCUCUGUCCCUACCAUGGUAUCUAGGCUCCUCUGUUGUGUGGUCUUUUGCCUCUUGGGAGCAGGCCCCUUGGAGACAACUGUUGUCCAGACUCCAAAAUAUCUUGUCACACAGGUGGGAAAGAAAGCAUCUCUCGAGUGUAAACAAAAUCUGGGCCACAAUGCUAUGUACUGGUACAAGCAAGACUCCAAGCGAUUGCUGAAGAUUAUGUUUAACUACAGUAAUAAGGACCUAAUUUUAAAUGAAACAGUUCCAAGCCGCUUCUCACCUCAAACUUCAGGCAAGGAUCAUUUAAAUCUUGAAGUCACGUCUGUGGCACCAGAGGACUCUGCUGUGUAUUUCUGUGCCAGCAGUCAAGGCACAGCCUUGCAGAGUCACUGCUUCCCUGUGCACAAACCCAGCCAACCAGGAAGAUGUGGGGGACACGUGCUCUCCUGCACCCGAGCCUCCAGUCUCCCGUUCUCUGGGGACUCUGGUGGAGUUUCAAUCUAG